rnacentral:rRNA from 1 species
UACGUUAGGGACCAAGCGUUGUUCGGAUUUACUGGGCGUAAAGGGCGCGUAGGCGGCGUGUUAAGUCACUUGUGAAAUCUCUAAGCUUAACUUAGAAACGGUCAAGUGAUACUGAUGUGCUAGGAGUGCAGAAGGGGCAACCGGAAUUCUUGGUGUAGCGGUGAAAUGCGUAGAUAUCAAGAGGAACACCUGAGGUGAAGACGGGUUGCUGGGCUGACACUGACGUGGAGGCGCGAAAGCUAGGGUAGCAAACGGG